AUUGAACGCUGGCGGCAGGCCUAACACAUGCAAGUCGAACGAGUGGCGGACGGGUGAGUAAUGUCUGGACAACUGCCCGAUGGAGGGGGAUAACUACGGGAAACGGUAGCUAAUACCGCAUACCAUCGGAUGUGCCCAGAUGGGAUUAGCUAGUAGGUGGGGUAACGGCUCACCUAGGCGACGCUCCCUAGCUGGUCUGAGAGGAUGACCAGCCACACUGAAACUGAGACACGGUCCAGACUCCGACGGGAGGAAGCAGUGGGGAAUAUGGGGCAAGGGGCGAAAGCCUGAUGCAGCCAUGCCGCGUGUAUGAAGAAGGCCUUCGGGUUGUAAAGUACUUUCAGUGAGGAGGCGUUACUCGCAGAAGAAGCACCGGCUAACUCCGUGCCAGCAGCCGCGGUAAUAC
rnacentral:rRNA from 1 species